rnacentral:rRNA from 1 species
CGGGUGCNUGCACCUGGUGGCGAGUGGCGAACGGGUGAGUAAUACAUCGGAACGUGUCCUGUANUGGGGGAUAGCCCGGCGAAAGCCGGAUUAAUACCGCAUACGAUCUACGGAUGAAAGCGGGGGAUCUUCGGACCUCGCGCUAUAGGGGCGGCCGAUGGNGGAUUAGCUAGUUGGUGAGGUAAAGGCUCACCAAGGCGACGAUCCNUAGCUGGUCUGANAGGACGACCAGCCACACUGGGACUGAGACACGGNCCAGACUCCUACGGGAGGCAGCAGUGGGGAAUUUUGGACNAUGGGCGAAAGCCUGNUCCAGCAAUGCCGCGUGUGUGAAGAAGGCCUUCGGNUUGUAAAGCACUUUUGUCCGGAAAGAAAUCCCUGGUCCUAAUAUGGCCGGGGGAUGACGGUACCGGAAGAAUAAGCACCGGCUAACUACGUGCCAGCAGCCGCGGUAAUACGUANGGUGCAAGCGUUAAUCGGAAUUACUGGGCGUAAAGCGUGCGCAGGCGGUGAUGUAAGACCGAUGUGAAAUCCCCGGGCUCAACCUGNGAACUGCAUUGGUGACUGCAUCGCUUGAGUAUGGCANAGGGGGGUAGAAUUCCACGUGUAGCAGUGAA